CAGUAGCCACGGGAAUACGAAGGGGGCUAGCGUUGUUCGGAAUCACUGGGCGUAAAGGGCGCGUAGGCGGUUUGUACAGUUGGAUGUGAAAUUCCUGGGCUUAACCUGGGGGCUGCAUUCAAUACGUGCAGGCUUGAGUGUGGAAGAGGGUUGUGGAAUUCCCAGUGUAGAGGUGAAAUUCGUAGAUAUUGGGAAGAACACCGGUGGCGAAGGCGGCAACCUGGUCCAUAACUGACGCUGAGGCGCGAAAGCGUGGGGAGCAAACAGGAUUAGAUACCCGCGUAGUCCCUGUCUCUUAUAC
rnacentral:rRNA from 1 species